rnacentral:SRP_RNA from 1 species
GCCAGGCGCGGUGGCUCACGCCUGUAAUCCUAGCACUUUGGGAGGCUGAGGUGGGAGGAUCACCUGAGGUCAGGAGUUCAAGACCUGCCUGGCCAACAUGGUGAAACCCCGUCUCUA